UUGAAUUGCGAAAACACGUUCGAUUGAAUUUGGAAAACAAUAUUAACUGGUUUUGGAUUCAAACAAACUCAAUUCUAAUCCUAGCCCAAAUUGACAAAGCCCAAAACAAGAAAACCCAUAUUAUCAACCCAUAAUUCAACUUCACGUAAAAUCAAGAAAGCCAAAAACCCUCUUCUCUCCUCUCCUCCAAUUCACGUGAAAAGCAAGCAAACUCUCUCUCUGCUUCAGCCACCGCCGCCCUCCUUGCUGUUGUCCCUCACGCCGCCGGCCAACCACCUCAGACGCUCCUCCUCCGUCGCGUGCAACCUUCCUCGCCGCCACCUGCACCCCGUCGCUGCCGCCAACCAACCAGCACCGGUCGUUGGCCCCUUCCCUUCUCCUUCGCGAAGCAUCAACACUCCUCCUUUUCUUUCUCCUCUGCGUGCGUUUCCUCCUGCUUGCACCACCAGCCACCUUCGGUCACCCUGCUGCGCCACCACCCAUCGCCGCGCUGCCACUGUGGCAUCGCCGUGCUGCUGCACCAACCGCCGUCAGCUCUUCCUCCCUUCACUUUUUGGCGGAGAAUUCUCUUUAGGCGACUUUUGAAAGUGUUAAAGUGGCCUAUUAGUUGUUUAUGCAAGUCUCUAAGGAUCAAUAAGCGUUGCCCAUCUACAGGUUUGAAGAUGAUGCACCAUUGGGAUCGGGAUUAGAGAGCUUGUUGUUCUAUUUGUUUACUUGAGUGAUUUAAUUUGUUAACUUGGAUUUGAAAUUUGUCGUACUAUUCGUAUUUCCUUAUUUCAGUUAAUUGGUUUGGACCUAAUAUGUAAUAGAUUAUUUAUGAACCUAAAAGUUAGUUUUAUGUUUUCCGCUGCAAAAUUCUGAAUAAGCCGUUACGUUUUUACA